rnacentral:rRNA from 2 species
AAACCAACAGGGAUUGCCUCAGUAGCGGCGAGUGAAGCGGCAAAAGCUCAAAUUUGAAAUCUGGCGCGGUUCCGCGUCCGAGUUGUAAUUUGAAGAAGGCGACUUUGGGUCCGGCUCUUGUCUAUGUUCCUUGGAACAGGACGUCACAGAGGGUGAGAAUCCCGUGCGAUGAGAUGCCCCGGGCCCGUGUAAAGUGCUUUCGACGAGUCGAGUUGUUUGGGAAUGCAGCUCUAAGUGGGUGGUAAAUUCCAUCUAAAGCUAAAUAUUGGCGAGAGACCGAUAGCGAACAAGUACAGUGAUGGAAAGAUGAAAAGAACUUUGAAAAGAGAGUGAAAAAGUACGUGAAAUUGUUGAAAGGGAAGGGCUUGAGAUCAGACUUGAUAUUAGCGCAAGUGCGGGCCGUCAGGCGCGCGCCUCUGCGAUGGAAUCAGGCCAGCAUCGGUUUGUGCGGCAGGAUAAUGGCGGAGGAAAGUGGCACGGUUCGCUGUGUGUUAUAGCCUCUGUUGAUACUGCCUGCGUAGACCGAGGACCGCGGCUUCUGCCUAGGAUGCUGGCGUAAUGAUCUUAAGUCGC